rnacentral:rRNA from 1 species
GCUGGCGGUGCGCCUUAUGCAUGCAAGUCGAGCGAAGCUUUUCAGUAGUUUACUACAGAAAAUGACUGAGCGGCGAACGGGUGAGUAACGCGUGAGCAAUCUACCUUAGUUACAGGGAUAGCCCGAGGAAACUCGGAUUAAUACCUGAUAUUCUUUUUAUCUCGCAUGAGAUUUUAAGGAAAGGUCAGCCGAACUAAGAUGAGCUCG